AUGAGACAUCCAGUAAGAACUCACAGGAUACUUUUCACAUUCUUCUACUUUUCACAAAUUAUAUCCAGGAAAGGAAGGACUUGUAGUUCAGACGAAGAGAACACCAGAGCCAUAGCCAGCGCCACAUCCAUAGCCACAGCCACAGAGAGAGCGGGAGCCAUACCCAUAGCCACAGCCAGAGCCACAGCCCAGUCUGCGGAAGCCACAGCCGUAGCUGGAGCCAUAGCCACAGCCCAGGCCUCCAUAGCCACAGCCUCCAUAGCCGCAGCCUCCAUAGCCACAGCCUCCAUAGCCGCAGCCUCCAUAGCCAUAGCCUCCAUAGUAGCUGCCACACAUGGUGUUGGUUGUUGAGGUUGUACUUGGGUAGAGAAGGAGAGAAGUGUCACUUCACUGUAGUGUGGACAGUUCUCCCUGCAGAGGCCUUUUAUAUGCUCUCAAUGUGGAUGUCACCCACCACAUCACAGGUGUCAUGUCAUUGGGUAAUUUUAUGAUUAAUUGCAUUAGUUUGUUGUUCCUCAACCAUAAGAGAAAGCUUCAGAGGCAUUAAGGUGAUUUGCUUUGUUUGGAAUUCUUUUAUCCAGUUUUGGGCUUAAAUGAGGGAAGACACUCAUGCACUCUACACAGACCUGCCCCAUUUU
rnacentral:lncRNA from 12 species